rnacentral:rRNA from 1 species
UACAGAGGUCCCAAGCGUUGUUCGGAUUCACUGGGCGUAAAGGGUGCGUAGGCGGUUGAGUAAGUUUGAUGUGAAAUCUCCGGGCUUAACCCGGAAAUGGCAUUGAAUACUAUUCAGCUAGAGAGUCGGAGGGGGGACUGGAAUACUUGGUGUAGCAGUGAAAUGCGUAGAUAUCAAGUGGAACACCAGUGGCGAAGGCGAGUCCCUGGACGAUUUCUGACGCUGAGGCACGAAAGCUAGGGGAGCAAACAGG